AUGGUGUACGAAACCGCCGAAGUGCACGGUGGCCAUGAGCUGGUGCUCAAAUCAGCCAUGACUACGGUGAAACCGGCACUGCCGAUGCAUGAGUACCGCCUGCCACUGUCUAACCUGGACCUGCUCCUGCCGGCGCUCGACGUCAGCGUCUUCUUCUGCUAUCGCCACCCGGCGCCCACGGCCUCAGAGCUCAAGGAGGCGCUGGCGAAGGUGCUGGUGGCCUACUACCCGCUAGCCGGGGAGGUUCUGGCCAACGCCGCAGGGGAACCGGAGCUGCUGUGCAGCGGCCGCGGCGUGGACUUCGUGGAAGCUACCGCUGACGGAUCCCAGCUGCAGGAGGUGCGGCUCGCCCUGCCGGACGAGAGCGCCGAGAAACUGGUGCCUGCCAAGAAGGCCGGCGUGAUAUCUGUUCAGGUCACCAAGUUUAAGUGCGGCGGCGCCCUCGUCGGCUGCACUUUUGACCACCGGGUCUGCGAUGCCUACUCCUUCAACAUGUUCCUCGUCGCGUGGGCUAUCGCAUCCCGCGGUGGCACCGCACCUCCGGCCCCGUUCUUCGACCGCUCCAUAGUCGCCCCACGCGACCCAUCGCCGCGCACCUAUACCACCGACGCCCUGAUCGACCGCCUGUUCUCUCCUCUGAGCUCCGUGCCGCUCCCUUCGGCCUCCGCCACUGCCACAGCUAUCAACCGCAUCUACCACGUAGCAGCCGACGACGUCGCAACACUGCAUGCCUUGGCCGGGGCAGGGCGCACGAAGCUCGAGGCAUUCACGGCCCACCUGUGGCAGCUCUGCUCCAUGGCGGCCUCCGGACACCAGCGUCUGUGCUGCAUGGGCAUGGUGGUGGACGGGCGUGCUCGCAUGUUCCCCGACGGCGCCAUGAAGGCCUACUUCGGCAACGUGGCCAUGACGCUCGCGGACGUGGCGGACGACGUGCACCGGUGGGUGCGGGAGGCCGCGACGGGCGAGCACUUCCGGGGGCUCAUCGACUGGGUGGAGGCGCUGCGGCCCAAGCCGGCAGUUGCCAGGGCGUACCUGGGCGGCACCGGCGGCUCCGAAGCGAUGGCGUGCAUCGUGUCAUCGGGAAUGGGCUUCCCGGUGGGCGAGGCCGAUUUCGGGACGGGUCUGCCGGCGUUCGCGUCAUACCACUUUCCGUGGCCCGCUGACACGGGGUACAUCAUGCCGAUGCCGAGCGCACGAGGGGACGGCGAUUGGGUUGUGUACGUGCACACGGUGCCAGAGUUGGUGAAGGUGAUGGAGGAGGGCCAUGUAAUUGUAAUGUUGCUCGAUCGGCAGCUUCAUUUGCUUAUUUGGAGUUUGUGUGCGUCGGUGGACCGUUUUGCAUUUCCAGUGCCACCAGCUACAUCGUUGGCGGCAACUUUACUUUUGAAAAUAAAUACUCUAUGCCAAGUAUAUGCAGUGCUGUAA
rnacentral:rRNA from 1 species